GUGCUCACUUUUGUAGCACAUAUACUAAAACUGGAACAAUACGGAGAAGUUAGUGUCAUCCCUGAACAAAGACAACACUCAAAUUCAUGAAUGUUCCCUAUUUUUU
rnacentral:snRNA from 1 species